GACGAACCGUGCAAACGUUAUUCGGAAUCACUGGGCAUAAAGGGCGCGUAGGCGGCUCCAAAAGUCAGGGGUGAAAUCCGGCAGCUUAACUGUCGCAGUGCCUUUGAUACUGUGGAGCUAGAGGGAGGUAGGGGUCUGUGGAACUUCCGGUGGAGCGGUGAAAUGCGUUGAUAUCGGAAGGAACGCCGGUGGCGAAAGCGACGGACUGGAUCUCUUCUGACGCUGAGG
rnacentral:rRNA from 1 species